rnacentral:ncRNA from 2 species
CACGUAUCCCCGGGGAGCCAGCAGGGCGUUCGCGUCCACCGGCUGAGAGUUGUGGGUAUGCUCCACAAGACCCGUCGAACCUGAACCCGUUAAUACGGGCGGAGGGAGUGGACGGUGUGCCCGGA